rnacentral:rRNA from 1 species
AUUGAACGCUGGCGGCAGGCUUAACACAUGCAAGUCGAGCGAGCGGCGGACGGGUGAGUAAUGGCUGGGAAACUGCCUGAUGGAGGGGGAUAACUACUGGAAACGGUAUCUAAUACCGCAUACCAUCAGAUGUGCCCAGAGGGGAUUAGCUAGUAGGUGGGGUAAUGGCUCACCUAGGCGACGACCCCUAGCUGGUCUGAGAGGAUGACCGGCCACACUGGAACUGGAACACGGUCCAGACUCCUACGGGAGGCAGCAGUGGGGAAUAUUGCACAAUGGGGGCAGGCCUGAUGCAGCCAGGCCGCGUGUGUGAAGAAGGCCUUCGGGUGGUAAAGCACUGUCAGCGAGGAGGCGUUACUCGAAGAAGAAGCACCGGCUAACUCCGUGCCAGCAGCCGCGGUAAUUC